ensembl:snRNA U6 U6 spliceosomal RNA
GUGCUUGCUUCAGCAAUACAUAUACUAAAAACUGUAACAAUACAGAGAUUAGCAUGGCCCCUGUGCAAGAAUGACAAGCAAAUUCAUGAAGUGUUACAUAUUUAA